UACGUAGGGUGCAAGCGUUGUCCGGAAUUAUUGGGCGUAAAGAGCUCGUAGGCGGCUCGUUGCGUCGGCUGUGAAAACCCGCAGCUCAACUGUGGGCUUGCAGCUGAUACGGGCGGGCUGGGAUUCGGUAGGGGAGACUGGAAUUCCUGGUGUAGCGGUGAAAUGCGCAGAUAUCAGGAGGAACACCGGUGGCGAAGGCGCCACUCUGGGCCGAAACUGACGCUGAGGAGCGAAAGCGUGGGGAGCGAACAGG
rnacentral:rRNA from 1 species